rnacentral:rRNA from 1 species
UACGAAGGGGGCAAGCGUUGUUCGGAAUGACUGGGCGUAAAGGGCGCGUAGGCGGUCCGUUGCGUCGGGCGUGAAAGCCCCGGGCUCAACCCGGGAAUGGCGCUCGAUACGGGCGGGCUUUGAGUCCGGAAGAGGGUGGUGGAAUUCCCAGUGUAGAGGUGAAAUUCGUAGAUAUUGGGAAGAACACCGGUGGCGAAGGCGGCCACCUGGUCCGGCACUGACGCUGAGGCGCGAAAGCGUGGGGAGCAAACAGG